AACGAACGCUGGCGGCAUGCCUAACACAUGCAAGUCGAACGAACCCUUCGGGUCUAGUGGCGCACGGGUGCGUAACGCGUGGGAACCUUCCCUUAGGUUCGGAAUAACUCCCCGACAGGGGUGCUAAUACCGGAUAAUGUCUUCGGACCAAAGAUUUAUCGCCUUUGGAUGGACCCGCGUUGGAUUCGCUAGUUGGUAGGGUAAAAGCCUCCUACGGCGACGAUCCAUAGCUUGUCUGAGAGGAUGAUCAGCCACACUGGGACUGAGACACGGCCCAGACUCCUACGGGAGGCAGCAGUGGGGAAUAUUGGACAAUGGGCGAAAGCCUGAUCCAGCAAUGCCGCGUGAGUGAUGAAGGCCUUAGGGUUGUAAAGCUCUUUUAACCGGGAUGAUAAUGACAGUACCGGGAGAAUAAGCUCCGGCUAACUCCGUG
rnacentral:rRNA from 1 species